CGACCACAUCACAUUAAAGCACCAGUUCUCGUAAGAUCACCGAAAUUAAGGAACUUCAAGCCUGGUAAGUAUCUAGAUGGGUGACCUCUUGAGAAUACCAGGU